GCUGGCGGCGUGCCUAAUACAUGCAAGUCGAGCGAACGGACGAGAAGCUUGCUUCUCUGAUGUUAGCGGCGGACGGGUGAGUAACACGUGGAUAACCUACCUAUAAGACUGGGAUAACUUCGGGAAACCGGAGCUAAUACCGGAUAAUAUUUUGAACCGCAUGGUUCAAAAGUGAAAGACGGUCUUGCUGUCACUUAUAGAUGGAUNCGCGCUGCAUUAGCUAGUUGGUAAGGUAACNNNNUACCAAGGCAACGAUGCAUAGCCGACCUGAGAGGGUGAUCGGCCACACUGGAACUGAGACACGGUCCAGACUCCUACGGGAGGCAGCAGUAGGGAAUCUUCCGCAAUGGGCGAAAGCCUGACGGAGCAACGCCGCGUGAGUGAUGAAGGUCUUCGGAUCGUAAAACUCUGUUAUUAGGGAAGAACAUAUGUGUAAGUAACUGUGCACAU
rnacentral:rRNA from 2 species